GACGAACGCUGGCGGCGUGCUUAACACAUGCAAGUCGAACGGAAAGGCCCUGCUUUUGUGGGGUGCUCGAGUGGCGAACGGGUGAGUAACACGUGAGUAACCUGCCCUUGACUUUGGGAUAACUUCAGGAAACUGGGGCUAAUACCGGGUAGGAGCUCCUGCUGCAUGGUGGGGGUUGGAAAGUUUCGGCGGUUGGGGAUGGACUCGCGGCUUAUCAGCUUGUUGGUGGGGUAGUGGCUUACCAAGGCUUUGACGGGUAGCCGGCCUGAGAGGGUGACCGGCCACAUUGGGACUGAGAUACGGCUCAGACUCCUACGGGAGGCAGCAGUGGGGAAUAUUGCACAAUGGGCGGAAGCCUGAUGCAGCAACGCCGCGUGCGGGAUGACGGCCUUCGGGUUGUAAACCGCUUUCGCCUGUGACGAAGCGUGAGUGACGGUAAUGGGUAAAGAAGCACCGGCUAACUACGUG
rnacentral:rRNA from 1 species